rnacentral:rRNA from 1 species
UAACGCGUAAGAAUCUACCUAGUAGUGGGGGACAACUCGGGGAAACUCGAGCUAAUACCGCAUACGCCCUACGGGGGAAAGCGGGGGAUCUUCGGACCUCGCGCUAUUGGAAGAGCUUGCGUUAGAUUAGCUAGUUGGUGGGGUAAAGGCUCACCAAGGCGACGAUCUAUAGCUGGUCUGAGAGGAUGAUCAGCCACACUGGGACUGAGACACGGCCCAGACUCC